rnacentral:lncRNA from 1 species
UCCUCUGUAUGUUAUUAAAAAUGAUCUAAAAAGGCUAAAUGCUGCUUCCUGUUACUAUUCUCAGAUUGAUUCAUCCAAGAAAGUCCACUUCGGAGCUGUGGUGCAAGAACUGUACAACAGGAGGAACUUACACAAGAAGAGCGCCAGCGCUUCGGGAGAAGCGUCGCCUGAUAACAAGAUUGAAAAUCCACACUUUCAGACUGAGGGAGAAGACAUCUACCAGAAUCUGGAAAGGACUGGAUAAACUGGGAGAUUCCACGGAUUAUACUGUACAGUGAACGUCUGGAAACAUACAGGAGAAAAGAGGAAGAGGCUGCGUCCCAAUUGUGUACUGCACUCUAAUACUAUUAGGUAUAGACUUUAAGGAGCACUAAGCCCCCUGGUUUUAGCUGACUCCACCCUCAGCUCAAAUUUGAAAAAGGCAAAAAAAUGGGAGAGGUAGAUUUGGAGGGGCACUGGGUGAUGUAUGGGUUUAGAGGCGGGACAGGAGGGAGGUAUUGUUGAUAGACUUAUCUGCAUAUUGUAAUGUUGUGUCUGCAUACCAAUAUACACAGACACAUCAUCCACACCUAUAGCACAGUUGAACCUGAGAGGGCCCUCACAAUAGUAAAAGCGUUUUUUAAAGGUUAGGAAAUGUUUAUAAAAAAUGUUAUGUGUCAUCAUUUAAAAAAACACACAUUUCAGAUAUUAAUGGAAAGAAAUAUGGUUUAAGGAUUAGUGGCUCUAUUAGGGAGAUUAGCAUACAAAAUAUGAUUUUCUUACCAGUUUUUACAUAACCUAUUCACAUUGCAUUGUGGUAUAUUUCCUUGCAUACAGUAUCUCAAUAUAUUGCAAUAUAUAAAAACACAUAUUUGCCCAGUUCUUUUUUUAGCUAUACUACAUACUACACACUCAAACACUAGUUAGUAUGAGUAAUAAGUAUGCAAUUGGGACACAGCCAAAGAAAAGACAAUGGGAUGAAUGGACUGAAGAGGACCAAAUCAAGUGGACUACUGGACAUUGCCUCUAUAUAUGCAGAUUUAGGACCAACUUCUUUUUUAAAGUCCUAAUUUAAUAUGAACCAUCACAAAAUGGACUAAAUAAUAAAUCUCAGAUAAAGUGACUGUGGAACCUGUAU